UACGUAGGGUGCGAGCGUUAAUCGGAAUUACUGGGCGUAAAGCGUGCGCAGGCGGUUCGCAAAGUCUGAUGUGAAAGCCCCGGGCUCAACCUGGGAACUGCAUUGGAAAUUAACGGGCCCGAGUGUGGCAGAGGGGGGUGGAAUUCCACGUGUAGCAGUGAAAUGCGUAGAUAUGCGGAGGAACACCGAUGGCGAAGGCAAUCCCCUGGGCCUGCACUGACGCUCAUGCACGAAAGCGUGGGGAGCAAACAGG
rnacentral:rRNA from 1 species